UUAUAGUAUCCGCAAGAUAAGAGCAAUGACAGUAAGAUUCCUGCCCAGCUCAGAGUAUGUAUUUGGCUUAGUCUGGCAUCAGAUAUAGGGGAAUUUCACAAAUUUUCAGAAGGAAAACUACUGAUAUAUGCUGAAAUGUAUGAAAACCAGAUAAAACUGGCACAGAAGUGGGGAACCAAGGGACUCUUUCAAAAGCCGCACUUUUCAGAUGUAACAGGGAGAGUUUGCAUUUCCAGAGAUAAGUUUGUGCUCCCACGUGGCUGGAAAUGGGCUACUGACUGGACCAUAAACCCAGAGAAAAGAAUGUUACUAGAAGCAGACACAGGUCAUCAAACAUUUCUAGAUGAGGUCUAUUUAAAUGAAGUUCGGAAUGACUGUGGACAGUGGGUUCCUGCUUCAGUCCCUUAUA